rnacentral:rRNA from 1 species
GACAGAGGUGCCGAGCGUUAGGCGGAAUCACUGGGCUUAAAGCGUGUGUAGGCGGAUCUGUAAGUACCUUGUGAAAUCCCACGGCUCAACCGUGGAACUGCUUGGUAUACUGCGGGUCUUGAGCCACCUAGGGGCGAGCGGAACAAAUGGUGGAGCGGUGAAAUGCGUAGAUAUCAUUUGGAACGCCAACGGAGAAAUCAGCUCGCUGGGGGUGUGCUGACGCUGAGACACGAAAGCCAGGGGAGCGAACGGG